CACGUAGGGGGCAAGCGUUGUCCGGAAUUAUUGGGCGUAAAGAGCUCGUAGGCGGCUCGGUAAGUCAGGUGUCAAAUCCUCAGGCUCAACCUGGGCUCCACCUGAUACUGCUGUGGCUAGAGUCCGGUAGGGGAGCGUGGAAUUCCUGGUGUAGCGGUGAAAUGCGCAGAUAUCAGGAGGAACACCAGCGGCGAAGGCGGCGCUCUGGGCCGGAACUGACGCUGAGGAGCGAAAGCGUGGGUAGCAAACAGG
rnacentral:rRNA from 1 species